AGGAAAUGGAAACCGAAUAAGGAAAUGAAAAUCGAAAAAGGAAAUAGAAACCGAAUAAGGAACUAGAAACCGAAAAAGGAAAUGAAUAUUGAAAAAGGAAAAAGAAACCGAAUUAGGAAAUGAAAAUCGAAUAAAAAUGAAUAUUGAAAAAGGAAAAAUAAACCGAAUAAGGAAAUGAAAAUCGAAUAAGGAAAUUGAAAUCGAAUAAGGAAAUGAAAAUCCAAUAAGGAAAUAGAAGCUGAAUAAGGAAAUAGAAACCGAAUAAGGAAAUGAAUAUUGAAAAAUGAAAAAGAAUCUGAAUAAGGAAAUAGAAACCGAAUAAGGAAAUGAAUAUUGAAAAAGGAAAAAGAAACUGAAUAAGGAAAUAGAAACCGAUGAAAAUCCAAUAAGGAAAUAGAAACCGAAUAAGGAACUAGAAACCGAAAAAGGAAAUGAAUAUUGAAAAAGGAAAAAGAAACCGAAUAAGGAAAUGAAAAUCGAAUAAGGAAAUGGAAAUCGAAUAAGGAAACGAAAAUCCAAUUAGGAAAUAGAAACCGAAUAAGGAAAUAGAAACCGAAAAAGGAAAUGAAUAUUGAAAAAGGAAAAAGAAACCGAAUAAGGAAAUGAAAAUCGAAUAAGGAAAUUGAAAUCGAAUAAGGAAAUGAAAAUCCAAUAAGGAAAUAGAAGCUGAAUAAGGAAAUAGAAACCGAAUAAGGAAAUGAAUAUUGAAAAAAGGAAAAAGAAACUGAAU
rnacentral:lncRNA from 1 species